GACGAACGCUGGCGGCGUGCCUAAUACAUGCAAGUCGAGCGAAUCUGAUGGGAGCUUGCUCCUCGAUGAUUAGCGGCGGACGGGUGAGUAACACGUGGGUAACCUGCCUGUAAGACUGGGAUAACUCCGGGAAACCGGGGCUAAUACCGGAUAACUUUUUUCUUCGCAUGAGGGAGAAUUGAAAGAUGGCUUCGGCUAUCACUUACAGAUGGACCCGCGGCGCAUUAGCUAGUUGGUGAGGUAACGGCUCACCAAGGCGACGAUGCGUAGCCGACUUGAGAGGGUGAUCGGCCACACUGGGACUGAGACACGGCCCAGACUCCUACGGGAGGCAGCAGUAGGGAAUCUUCCGCAAUGGACGAAAGUCUGACGGAGCAACGCCGCGUGAGUGAUGAAGGUUUUCGGAUCGUAAAACUCUGUUGUUAGGGAAGAACAAGUAUCGUUCGAAUAGGGCGGUACCUUGACGGUACCUAACCAGAAAGCCACGGCUAACUACGUG
rnacentral:rRNA from 1 species